AUUGAACGCUGGCGGCAUGCUUUACACAUGCAAGUCGAACGGCAGCGCGGGGCAACCUGGCGGCGAGUGGCGACCGGGCGUGUAAUAUCUCGGAACGUACCCAGCUGAGGGGGCUAACGUAGCGAAAGUUACGCUAAUACCGCAUACGAUCUACGGACGAAAGUAGGGGACCGCCAGGCCUUAUGCUUUUGGACCGGCCGAUAUCUGAUUAGCUCGUUGGUGAGGUAAAGGCUCACCAAGGCGACGAUCAGUAGCUGGUCUGAGAGGACGACCAGCCACACUGGAACUGAGACACUGUCCAGACUCCUACGGGAGGCAGCAGUGGGGAAAUUUGGACAAUGUGCGCAAGCCGGAUCCAGCAAUGCCGCGUGAGUGAAGAAGGCCUUCGGGUUGUAAAGCUCGUUUGUCAGGGAAGAAACGGUAGAGGCUAAUAUCCUUUGCUAAUGACGGUACCUGAAGAAUAAGCACCGGCUAACUACGUG
rnacentral:rRNA from 1 species